GAUGAACGCUGGCGGCGUGCCUAAUACAUGCAAGUCGAGCGAACGGACGAGAAGCUUGCUUCUCUGAUGUUAGCGGCGGACGGGUGAGUAACACGUGGAUAACCUACCUAUAAGACUGGGAUAACUUCGGGAAACCGUAGCUAAUACCGGAUAAUAUUUUGAACCGCAUGGUUCAAUAGUGGAAGACGGUCUUGCUGUCACUUAUAGAUGGAUCCGCGCUGCAUUAGCUAGUUGGUAAGGUAACGGCUUACCAAGGCAACGAUGCAUAGCCGACCUGAGAGGGUGAUCGGCCACACUGGAACUGAGACGCGGUCCAGACUCCUACGGGAGGCAGCAGUAGGGAAUCUUCCGCAAUGGGCGAAAGCCUGACGGAGCAACGCCGCGUGAGUGAUGAAGGUCUUCGGAUCGUAAAACUCUGUUAUUAGGGAAGAACAUAUGUGUAAGUAACUGUGCACAUCUUGACGGUACCUAAUCAGAAAGCCACGGCUAACUACGUG
rnacentral:rRNA from 1 species